rnacentral:rRNA from 1 species
UACGUAGGGUCCGAGCGUUGUCCGGAGUUACUGGGCGUAAAGCGCGCGCAGGUGGUCCACUAAGCCCGGCGUGAAAGCCCCCGGCUCAACCGGGGGAGAGUCGUCGGGGGCUGGUGGACUUGAGGGCGGCAGGGGCUGGUGGAAUCCCCGGUGUAGUGGUGAAAUGCGUAGAGAUCGGGGGGAACACCCGUGGCGAAGGCGGCCAGCUGGGCCGACCCUGACACUGAGGCGCGGAAGGCGUGGGGAGCGAACGGG